UCACUGGUGAUAUAAAUAUAGGAUGAUAAUGUCUAAUAGUGUGGCUAAAAAGUCAUUUUCAAAACUGAUAUAGUAUAUAUUGUUGUAAAGCAUUGCUGAUUAAUAUACUGCUAUUCUUCUGCUUCCUUUAUGCCCUAUUAUGUUCCUACUCCACCCCAGGGGGCGCUUGUUGCUCUGUGAGUCUCAGGCCUCUAAUCAUAGCAACCAAUUGCAGAUGACAAGUUGGGGCUUGUCUGUUGUGAGCUGUGAGCCAAUGGGCAGAGCCAGAGCUUCAGCUUCCUCUCCGUCUCAGUGCACUGCAGCCUGCUGCUGCCUGCCUGUAGAUUUAUAGUAGCGCUCACUGCUCUGUGCUGCUCUGAUGCUCACCCACACACCCACAGCUGUUCAGCCUGGCUAGUCCCACAGAGAGAGAAGCAGAGAGGCAGUGUGUCUCCAAGCCUCUACAAAACACAAUCAGAUCCUUCUCACGAGUCUCUGUGUCCACUGCUACUCCACUGACUGACACAGAGCUUUACUCUACCAGCGGAGGUGCUGUGAGCGGCUGGAGGUCGUCAUGGCAACCCAGAGACAUGUACCCAGUGACAGUCUGGCUAGAACAUUCAGGUCCUGUGCCAGAAACCCUAGUGAUGUCAUCUCCGCUAGACUGAGAGACAUGUGCCACACCUUCAUCCAGCACUACCAGGAACCAUGGGAAGAGAACCACAGCCUAGACAGAGAGAGAGGAGUUCUCCAGCCAGACAGAGACUUUGUACUACAGGGUUCUAGAGGCUGUCAUCAAUCAGGAGAGGAAGAGGCUGGGAGCCAAAGACAUUUUAGUGAGUCCUCUGCCCUCUGUUGUGUAUGACUGGAACUGCACUGUUUAGUGUCAUUAAGCCUUCACUUUAUAAUUCCCUCUGGGGGCACUGUUGUAUUUUAUUUAUGUAUUUUUUAUUUAACCUUUAUUUAACCUAAGCAAGUCAGUUAAGAACAAAUUCUUAUUUACAAUGACGGCCUACCAAAAGGCAAAUGGCCUCUAGCUGGGACAGAGGCCUGGGAUUAAAAUAAAUAAAUACAAUAUAAAUAUAGGACAAAAUGUUAUACAGACAUGUAUAGUAUAGAGGUUGUCCUUGAUGACUUGUUUCUUGGCAUACUGGAGCAUGAUCUGUUCCAGCGCUCUCUAGUGGCCUGUUGUCUGGAGAUGGUAAUCUUCUCCCAUCAGCCACCAGGCAGCUUCCCCCUGGUCAUUGACAUCUUUAGCCUGACGCCAUACGACUUCUACAAGGUGAUAGAGCUGGUGCUGCGGGCUGAGGAGGGCUUGCUGCUAAGAGUCAGGGACAGCUGCCUGCAUACCAUCAGGUGAUGCUUCCCCAAUACUCAGAGGACAAAGACAAGAUGGCCAAGAUCCCUCCCAACCCUUCACAGUUGACCUCAAGCCUUGUGAAUGGGAUCCAUGGAAAUGACCUGAACUCCCCGAUUACCCACCAUGAACGCUACAGCUCACCCCCUGCUGGCUCAAAGAUGGCCGCUUGCCCUACCACACCAGUCAGCCCAUCCCCCUCCUCCUCUGUCAUUGUUACUGGACAGACUGUAGUCACCAUGGCAUCAGCCACUGUCACCACCAACAAUGACCAGUCAGUCACCAUACCGGUUCGAGGCAUUGACAAUGACCGGGGAGCCAUCACAUUUACCCUCAGUGUUGUAGGUCAGCCCAUUCCUCCACAGCAAGUCUCCAACACCUCUACCCAGCAGCCCCAGAACCCUCUACCCUCUACCCAGAGUAAGGGCUCCAUCUCCCUGUUCCUCCGCAAGGUCUACUACCUGGUGAGCAUGCGUCUGAGGGACAUCUGUGUUAAACUGGACAUCUGUGAGGCGCUGCGGCUGAAGAUCUGGACCUGCGUUAAACACUGCACUGACCUCAUUCUAGACCGACACCUGGACCAAAUACUCAUAUGUGCCAUCUAUGUGAUGGCCAAGGUAACCAAAGUGGACAUGCCCUUCAAGCUCAUCUUGCAGUGCUACAAGACUCAGCCUCAAGCAAGCAACUGUUCUGUAUUGUCCUUCUGUCAGGUAUUCAGAAGUGAUCUGAUCUCAGGGAGAAACACCAAGACCUCACAAAACUCUCCUGGAGGAUCCAACAGAGAAAACGUUGAUGUAGACCCCAGCAGAAGCUUUCUUACCUACCAGAGCCCUCCCACCCAUCGUACAGGACCCAGAGCUCCCUGUAGACAGGGCCAGGAGGAGAGAGGACACCUCAUCUAUUUCUACAACACCGUCUAUGUCAAACAGAUGAAGGACUUUGCCCUGCGCUUUACCUCCAGCUCUCUGACCAUAGCCGGGACUUCAUCAACAACCAACAACCUCAACAGGACGUCUGUUUUAAUCAAUCUCCCACUGGACUGAACCAUGGGGUGCAACACCAGCAGGGAUGUUGUCGUGGUAGACCCUUCUAAAAAGCCAGAGACCAGACCAGCGUCGGCCAGCUCGACCAGUAAGGCCACCGUUGAGGAGACUAAAGAAACUACAGAGAAAGACAAAGAUGAAACAGAAGGCAUAUCAAGCUGCGACUGACCUCCAUCUUUCUUAACCCAAACUCCUCAAAAUUGGCCUGUCUGCAGGUGGAGGACCUGCCUGCAAAGGAAGGCAAUGCUGCACAACUGUCCAUCAACCCCUGUGUCAUCUGGGACCAGACCAGCCACACACCCCACUCCACUCUGUGAUGUAACCAACCAGCCACACACCCCGCUCCACUCUGUGAUGUAACCAACCAGCCACACGCCCCGCUCCACUCUGUGAUGUAACCAACCAGCCACACACCCCGCUCCACUCUGUGAUGUAACCAACCAGCCACACGCCCCGCUCCACUCUGUGAUGUAACCAACCAGCCACACACCCCGCUCCAAUCUGUGAUGUAGACCUACCAGCCAAACACUCUGCUCUGUGAUGUAGACCUACCAGCCACAGGUUCCUUACUCUGUCUACUGUUGCUGGUCCAGAACACUCUCUCUCUCUCAAUCUCUCAACUGGACUUUCAGUGUCCACAGUGCCAUGUUUAUAUCCUGUUAAUGUGCCAGUAUGGUCAUUGUAACAACAAUGAGACAUGGUAGUAAAUGUAUAGAUUCAAUUUGACUAAUGUCCUUUAUUGUUUUUGAUGUCAUUUAUUGUUAUUUACCUCCAUCUCUAUCUCACCCUCUAUCACACACCUCUGUUCUAAGGUGGCAGUUACAAUCAGUUACUUCAAAAGCUUCCAACCCUGCCACAGGCUAAACCAAACCGCAGCCAAAUCAGUAGGCUUUGAAGGCAGUUAUUUUUGCAGCUGUACAGCAUAUUACUGAUCACUCCAGCAGUCCUAGGCUCCAACACUACAUAACACUGCAUCAGGAAGCUGUUACAGCUCUGUGUUUGGGUAGACAGCAGCCUGCUUGUUAUUACCCAUAAAGGAAAUGGUUCCCAUAGAUACAAAUACUAUAUACUGCAAUGCCUUUUUUGCCACCAGGUGGCAUGUAAACACAACUGCAGUUCUGUUUGUCACCACCAGGGUGCAGAAGCGAUCCAUCAGUAUUUGGUGGGCUAUCCAAGGCCCUGGUCCAUUUACUCAAGACAUUUAAUCUGAAAUAUAUGUUGUAAAUGUAUUACCAGCGAGUGAAUAGAGCUAGAAGGGAAUAGCCUUUCACAAAGCCCAUAUCACAAAUACCCAUCACAGAGGAAGCGGGAAAUUACAUGAAAAUAUUACCAUUAUACAAAUGGAAAUUGUGAUUGAAUAAUGUGUUUGAGAAGAUAAAUGGAAAGCACUUUGUUAGAAAAUGUGGUGCUAAAUAGCUUUUUAAUUUCAGAUGUGGGAUAAAACAAAACACAUUUCUACUCCAUUUUCACUGGCAAUUGAUUAGUGGUUCCACACCUGCAGAGAGAAGGGCUCUUAUCUUCUCAUUAUCAGUUAAUUAAUAUGCAUGCACACAUGUCUAUUAUCUUUCCUCUGCCAUUUAGCAGAAUUGAGACAUUGAUGUUGUAAUGGCCUUGGAUGACUUCUCUCUCUGUUGCUUUAAGGAGAAAUAAGACACAUGACUGACAUUGUCUUUAAUUGUUGUAAAAGAAAAUUAAAUGAAAAUAAAAUAAAAUAAAAAGGAAAAACAAAUUCUUUACAUCAUAUUCAAUAUGACAUCACCAUUCCCCUCUGGGAGGUGUAUCUAUAAACACAGCAACUCUUAUUUGAUUGACUGUAUUUAAGUUAGCAGCUAUUCUAUGGUACUGUAGCUUUACGAAACAAGCCAUUUGGUGCACUGUGUAUACCUAAGAAAG